GUCAAGGACAUGUUAGUUCCCAUUUGAAAUCUUUCUGCAUCACACAACAUUUCAUCCUCAGGCCCAUAUGGUCUGUGGGUGGGCCUUGUUCAGCUCCAACAAAUGAAAGAAGAUUAAUUAACAGAAGGAGCUGCAGCUGGGCCUGGAGGCAGUGGCUGUACAGCAGCAGUGAGAGCCAAGCUGUGACGGACACAUGCUGUUCCCUGACUCAAGGCUGCCGAGUUCCCUCCAGCGAGGCUGCUGACCUGUUUUUCUAUUAGGAACAACCAGCAAAUGCGAUAAUGAGGAAAAUGUACACUGGCUCCUGUAAAGUUUAGUGAAGCCUGAAAGAAGUGCAGGAGGCCACGGAGAUGCGCGAGGAAGAACAUUCCAGGCAGAAGGAGCAGCAAGGACAAAAGUCCCUAGGCAAGAAUGGGUGGGCAAGCCUGAGAUCCAACAUGGCAGAGAGCAAGCCGGAAGUGCUGCGCGGGGAUCCUAAGGGGCGCUGAACAGGACAAACUCAGUUUUGUCUCUCAAACUCCCGCAAUCAGCUAUUUUACAUAAGGAAAGUGGGUGGUGAUUAACCUCAGAGUCUCCAGGGACAAACUAUCCAGGACUGUGACUGAAAUAGAAGAGGAAUUAACAUCAUUCAGAACUGAACACGGUGACUGAGGGGAGUUUGUGUCUCCCGUUUUAGGAAAGAAGAUGAGAACAUGUAUGAAGGAGAGUCAUGUACUGUAUAUUAGGCAAAAGCAUGAUGCUGUUAUUUGAAAAGUUAAUUAGAGUGCCCACUAAAAACCGCUCAGCAAUUUUCUUGAAGACCUCAGUGCUCAUGUUAUUCUUUCCUCUAUUUUAUUUUCCUCUCCCCUGCCCUUUUCAGAAAGAGUCUACAGCAGAAGCCAUUGACCCUGUUCAAAUUACAGAAGAGCCCUUUUUGAAUUUAUGAAAAUCCUGAAAUAUUAAAAUUUUGCCAAUUAGUGUU